rnacentral:tRNA from 1 species
GGGUCGGUGGUCUAGGCCGGUUAUGACACCGCCUUCACACGGCGGAAGUCGGCGGUUCAAAUCCGCCCCGACCCA